rnacentral:rRNA from 1 species
CAGUCGCCACGGGAAUACAGAGGGUGCGAGCGUUAAUCGGAUUUACUGGGCGUAAAGCGUGCGUAGGCGGCUAAUUGAGUCGGAUGUGAAAUCCCCGAGCUUAACUUGGUAAUUGCAUUCGAUACUGGUUAGCUAUAGUGUGGGAGAGGAUGGUAGAAUUCCAGGUGUAGCGGUGAAAUGCGUAGAGAUCUGGAGGAAUACCGAUGGCGAAGGCAGCCAUCUGGCCUAACACUGACGCUGAGGUACGAAAGCAUGGGGAGCAAACAGGAUUAGAUACCCGUGUAGUCCCUGUCUCUUAUAA